rnacentral:rRNA from 1 species
AUUGAACGCUGGCGGCAUGCCUUACACAUGCAAGUCGAACGGCAGCGCGGGGCAACCUGGCGGCGAGUGGCGAACGGGUGAGUAAUAUAUCGGAACGUGCCCUGGAGUGGGGGAUAACGUAGCGAAAGUUACGCUAAUACCGCAUACGAUCUGAGGAUGAAAGCAGGGGACCUUCGGGCCUUGUGCUCCUGGAGCGGCCGAUAUCUGAUUAGCUAGUUGGGUAGGGUAAAACGCCUACCGAAGGCGACGAUCAGUAGCUAGUCUGAGAGGACGACCAGCCACACUGGAACUGAGACA